AGGAGGGGUGAUGAGCGGAGGGAGGACUCGGCCUUCGGGCAAACUAGGGGGGCUGGCAGCUCCCCGGGUCGCACCUUUGGGGAUGGGCAUGGGUCAGCCCAGCCCGGCUCUGGCCCAGUGCAGGCAGGAGGUUCGGGUGUCCGCCCACAAACUGGCCUGGGAAAUGGAUACGCAUCCGUUUUUCUGUUGCUGGACUUAGUUUCUGCCUCAGGCUUCCCUCUGCCAGCCUGCAUGCAAGUCCAAGCUGUAUUUUCCUGGAAGUGUGCUCACGUGAUGCAGAGGCGUUGGACAUACGCAAUUUGGGAGAGGGAGAGAGAGAGAAACAUCAAUGAUGAGAGGCAGUCAUCGAUCAACUGCCUCCUGCACGCCCCCUACUGGGAAUCGAGCCCGCAGCCCCGGCAUGUGCCCUAGACGGGAAUCAAACCUGGGACCCUUCAGUCCGAAGGCCAACACUCUAUCCACGGAGUCAAACCGGCGAGGGCUAUUUUACGACAGUUUUGUAUAAGAGGACAAGUUAUACAUUAAAAAAAAAACAAAACUGACAAGUGCCACAAAUAUCACAAAAUUUAGAAAAAUGACCUUUGUGUGGAUUAA